CAGGAUCUGCUCUUACAUUUUGCACACACACACACACACACACACACACACACAGAUCACACCCCGUACUUUGGUGGUCUUUUUUUCAACAAAUGAACACUAAUCUUUAUCAGAAACCUGCCCGCACACUCCUCCUCUAAAACCUGCACACACAUACAGACACGCUAGAUGCGUAUCAGCUGUGCUGUGUCAACCGUUCUGAAUUAGCUGUCCGAUAGAUAACUCCCCUGCUUAUCUCCACAGCCACCACACAGAUGUCUGAAUGACGGAGAGAAUGAAGGCGGGGGGAAGAUGAGAGUAAAGAUGGGAAGGAGAGAGAGAGAGAAAGUUAAUGAGGAGACUGGAGGAUGUGCCAGAUUUUAGGUGUUUGAAGAGAGCGUUGCAGAAGCCGCCGAACGAACGAUUUUGAGGAAUCGUGGCUGAUCGGUGCAACUCGUCGCUGCAGGCUUUACACAACCUUCAGUGGGCGUCAUCUAAAAGCAACGGUUCCCAACCUGGGGACCCCUAAAAAAGUGGUCGAAGGGUUAAUAUAAGGGGUUGCAGAACAUAAUGUUACAGCAAGAGCAUAUAGAGUAUGUAAUGUGAGAAGGAAGGAUUCAGUGGAGAGCUCAGAUUCACCUGAUGAAUAUUCAUAAAUGUGACGUCACCGAUGGAGCUCCGUGUCGUCGUCAUAGAGAUUAGAGUGGAUGACGGGAUUAUGGGAGAGUCUCCGCCACACUGGGAUUGGCUGCCACUCUGCUUUUGUUCCUCUUAACUGCCUUUAUAUGUGCCGUUUUGUCACUCAAUCUCUCCCCACCGCUCAUCUCCUCUGCUGCACAGAGAUACUGUGACCAUCGCCCACGUUUCAUUUUUCCAUUUCCCUUUUUUCCCCUUUUCACCCCGGCUCUCUCUCUCUGCUGAUCCUCUUAGCCAUUUUACCCUCUGCCACAUUUUGUGAAACCCCACCCUCCCAUCGAGCAGUAUGCUACUGUAGUAAUUGCUUUCUUCAGCUCCAUUGGCCCAAUAAGAGAAAAUGGCCUCGUAUGCUAAUAGCCCAUAAAAGACACUGAGCAUUUCCCAGCAGGAAUCCCACAUCAGAUUAUGUUAUAGUGCUGUACCAGACAGUAAUGUCUUACCUCUAUGUGCUCUAAAAAUAAAACAGGAAUUUGUGAUAAAAAAAAAAAGAUUUGCUCUGAAUACUGAAGGUCAUUGCAUAGCUGGGACAAAAUAUCAAAGAUUUGUUUAGAUUUGAUGCAGUCCAAUACAAAACCACCUCUAACUUAAGCCUCAAAGACACACACAGAGUGGUGACACAGUGGUGAUAUUAUAACAGGCAAGUUCCUAAUGUUACCCACGAAUACAAGUUUGUGUGUUUGUGUGUGUUUGCGUCCCAGUUGGAUGUUGCUAGAACAGCUGUUUGUCACUGAAUGAGGCUCUGAGGGAGAGUUGCUGCCAGCUUUGAUGUCCUAAUUAUCUAUCCUUGUAGGUAUUUGGUCAUAAACCAAAUUAUUGGACAGAUUUUUUAAUUUUCGACUUGAUCGUGGCACUAGAUGAAAGGUCAGGAGGUCACCAAAGACAUUAGGAUUCAUCAAAUGGGGACCACCAAUGUCUGUACCAAUCCAUCCAGUAAAUGUUGAGAUAAUUCCAUUAUGGAUAAACCAUGGACCAACUGACAUUGACGUCCUCCCUAAAACCCACCAAAAUGUUUUACCUACAUCAUGUGAUGUUAGUUCGUUGUUGCAGCCCAUUCUCAUUAAUUCUCGUCAAAUACCGAGGCUUUGUCACAGCCACUGGCGUUUGAUACCGCCGCCCAAGGCACCCCUUUGCACCGUUGUGAAGCACACCGGUCGUUCCAUCAACGUAAACCCAUCCGCGGCAACAGCCAACACUCUGAGAAAGUGCGCCAGGAGUGUGGUGACGUGGUUUAAAGAGUGAAAAGACACACACCGUGCGGGCGGGAGGGGAGGU